rnacentral:rRNA from 1 species
CCUACGGGUUGCAGCAGUGGGGAAUAUUGCACAAUGGGCGCAAGCUUGAUGCAGCCAUGCCGCGUGUAUGAAGAAGGCCUUAGGGUUGUAAAGUACUUUCAGUUGGGAGGAAGGCGUUGAUGCUAAUAUCAUCAACGAUUGACGUUACCAACAGAAGAAGCACCGGCUAACUCCGUGCCAGCAGCCGCGGUAAUACGGAGGGUGCAAGCGUUAAUCGGAAUUACUGGGCGUAUAGCGCACGCAGGCGGUUGAUUAAGUUAGAUGUAAAAUCCCCGGGAUUAACCUGGGAAUGGCAUCUAAGACUGGUCAGCUAGAGUCUUGUAGAGGGGGGUAGAAUUCCGUGUGUAGCGGUGAAAUGCGUAGAGAUGUGGAGGAAUACCUGUGGCGAAGGCGGCCCCCUGGACAAAGACUGACGCUCAGGUGCGAAAGCGUGGGGAGCAAACAGGAUUAGAUACCCCCGUAGUC